UUUUAGCCCCGGUAGUAGUGGAAAUCCUUUCUCGUCCUGAAUUUUUUCAGGACGAGAAAGAUUGCAACGGAUAACGGGAAAUAGC
rnacentral:sRNA from 1 species